GGCCCGCGGGCGCAGCGGGCGCCGGGCCUGCCGCGGGCUGCGCGCUCCGGGGCCCCGGGCCGAGCGGCGGGCCCGCGCCCGCCGCACUCCUCGUUCCCAGUCAUUUUCUAAUGAAAAAGCCUUGGCUUCUUUGAAAAUCCAAAGGGCGCCGGACGCUAGCGGAGAAGAGCCCCAACAAGACGGCGAAUGCAGAAAGUAAAAGGCCGGCGUCCCUCCAACCCGUCCUUCGCAAAUCUCUCCAGAGAGAUCCAGCCUUUACAGAUCGGAAGCUUCUUGUACAUGGCAGGGCUACAUACCUGGUUCUGGCUGGUGAAAUAUGAGCAAAGGUGACAUGUGACACUUUGGGGUGAGGCAGUGACAAACCCAAGCGUGGUUCUCUGCGUUCUCUUCCCUUGCUUUGGUGAUCGUGGGAGCAUGAGGCAUCACGGGAUGAAGGCAAGCCUAUUGCUGAGCCACACGUGGAGGACAACUGUCUCCAACACUCACCCAGAUACACAGCUGAGUUCAGCUGGAGACUCUCGGCCGAUGGGCUCGGAAAAGCUGCCUUAGCAACCAGGAUUUUCACGCCUUUGCCCUUAAAAUGCCUUUGAUCGCUGUCCCAAAAGUUCUACUUUCCCAGAUGAGGAGCCAGGAAUCUGGAUUCACAGAUGUGCCCUUAUGGACAGUCCCUCCAAACAAAAAGGGCAAAGACUUCAGACUUGGCUGGCCUGGGGUCAAGUUCCAGCUCUCUGCCUGCGUGUCUCUGGGAAAAUUACUUAAGCUCAUGUGCCCCAUUUUCUUAUCUGAAGAAAGAGUAUAAUAAAAUAUACUUCUGAUGCCUGUUGCACGGAUUCAGUGUGUGGAUAUGCACAGAACACUUGGCCCAGGCUUUCGGACAUAGUAACUGCUCAGUAAGCAGUGAUGGCGAUCGUCAUAACUGUUGUUGUUGACGUCAAGGCCGUUUGCCUCUAUUAUAGGGGCAGCUGAUUGUGCUGCCUGUGUAAGUCUG
rnacentral:lncRNA from 1 species